rnacentral:rRNA from 1 species
GCGGCGGACGGGUGAGUAACACGUGGGUAACCUGCCUGUAAGACUGGGAUAACUCCGGGAAACCGGGGCUAAUACCGGAUGCUUGAUUGAACCGCAUGGUUCAAUCAUAAAAGGCGGCUUCGGCUGCCGUUUACAGAUGGACCCGCGGCGCAUUAGCUAGUUGGUGAGGUAACGGCUCACCAAGGCGACGAUGCGUAGCCGACCUGAGAGGGUGAUCGGCCACACUGGGACUGAGACACGGCCCAGACUCCUACGGGAGGCAGCAGUAGGGAAUCUUCCGCAAUGGACGAGAGUCUGACGGAGCAACGCCGCGUGAGUGAUGAAGGUUUUCGGAUCGUAGAGCUCUGUUGUUAGGGAAGAACAAGUACCGUUCGAAUAGGGCGGUACCUUGACGGUACCUAACC